UUCAUUAAGGACUACAGGCGAGGUAAGCGUUAUAGGAGCACACAAGCACGGACUACAGGCCAGGUAGGCGUUAUAGGAGCACACAAUCACGGACUACAGGCCAGGUAGGCGUUAUAGGAGCACACAAGCAUGGACUACAGGCCAGGUAGGCGUUAUAGGAGCACACAAGCAUGGACUACAGGCCAGGUAGGCGUUAUAGGAGCACACAAUCACGGACUACAGGCCAGGUAGGCGUUAUAGGAGCACACAAUCACGGACUACAGGCCAGGUAGGCGUUAUAGGAGCACACAAGCACGGACUACAGGCCAGGUAGACGUUAUAGGAGCACACAAUCACAGACUACAGGCCAGGUAGGCGUUAUAGGAGCACACAAGCACGGACUACAGGCCAGGUAGGCGUUAUAGGAGCACACAAGCAUGGACUACAGGCCAGGUAGGCAUUAUAGGAGUACACAAGCACGGACUACAGGCCAGGUAGGCGUUAUAGGAGCACACAAUCACGGACUACAGGCCAGGUAGGCGUUAUAGCAGCACACAAGCACAGACUACAGGCCAGGUAGGCGUUAUAGGAGCACACAAGCACGGACUACAGGCCAGGUAGGCGUUAUAGCAGCACACAAGCACAGACUACAGGCCAGGUAGGCGUUAUAGGAGCACACAAGCACGGACUACAGGCCAGGUAGGCGUUAUAGGAGCACACAAUCACAGACUACAAGGCUGCUACAUAGAUUUUACCCACAGGUCAUCAGAUCAAAAUCAGUACAGUAUAACACUGCAGGUCACUGCUGCUACUUUAAUUAUUACUGUUCACUAUUUUUUCACUAAAUACUG